GAGAGGCUCCUCUGCUGAUUUUAUAAUAGAAAAUUGAAGAAGAAAGGUUCUUCCCAAUAAGAGAAAGAGAAGGAAGCAGAAAUGUCUUCUUUCUUAUGCACAAUUUUGGUGAAGGAGUUCUUCUCUCAUAUAUUUUUUUAGUAUAAAAAUUAGAUUGGAUCUAAUUUUUAAUAUGAAAAUUUUGAGAAGAAAUGUCAAAAAGAUCUAGUUGGAUGUUUGGGGCUUCCUAGGGCUCUAGAUCAAGGAGAAAAAGAAAGA
rnacentral:lncRNA from 1 species